AUUGGUCAAUGGGGGAAACCCUGAACCAGCAACGCCGCGUGAGGGAUGACGGUCUUCGGAUUGUAAACCUCUGUCCUCUGUGAAGAUAAUGACGGUAGCAGAGGAGGAAGCUCCGGCUAACUACGUGCCAGCAGCCGCGGUAAUACGUAGGGAGCAAGCGUUGUCCGGAUUUACUGGGUGUAAAGGGGGAGCAGGCGGUCGUAAGGGUCCAUCGGUAAAAGACCGGGGCUAAACUCCGGGAAGGCGAGGAAACCGUACGACUAGAGUACAGCAGAGGAUCGUGGAAUUCCAUGUGUAGCGGUGAAAUGCGUAGAUAUAUGGAGGAACACCAGUGGCGAAGGCGACGAUCUGGGCUGAAACAGACGCUGAGUCCCGAAAGCGUGGGGAGCAAAUA
rnacentral:rRNA from 1 species